ACCUAGCCCCGAUUGCCGCGACAUCCUUUUUUGCAAGGAUUAGAAAUGGCAAAAAAGAUAUAGCAGAAAGCGGGAUUAGCU
rnacentral:sRNA from 1 species